rnacentral:rRNA from 1 species
UACGAAGGGGGCGAGCGUUGUUCGGAAUCACUGGGCGUAAAGGACGCGUAGGCGGCCCUUCUUGUCGCGUGUGAAAGCCCCGGGCUCAACCUGGGAAUGGCGCGCGAAACGGGGGGGCUGGAGUUCGGGAGAGGAGCGUGGAAUUCCCAGUGUAGAGGUGAAAUUCGUAGAUAUUGGGAAGAACACCGGUGGCGAAGGCGGCGCUCUGGACCGAGACUGACGCUGAGGCGCGAAAGCGUGGGGAGCAAACAGG